rnacentral:rRNA from 1 species
UUUUGGGCAGCCAUCAUUUAAACAGUGCGUAAUAGCUGACUCAUCGAGCGAUGUCGCGCCGAAAAUGAUUGGCGAUUAAAUUGUAUACCGAAGCUAUGGAUUCAUGACCGGUUCGCCGGACAUGAGUGGUAGGAGAGCGUAAUCAAUGCAGCGAAGCCGAACUGAAAAGGAUGGUGGAGCGUUGAUUAGUGAGAAUGCAGACACGAGUAGCGAUAAACUAGGUAAGAAUCCUAGUCGCCGUAAACCCAAGGUUUCCUGGGCCAGGUUCGUCCUCCCAGGGUUAGCCGGGAGCUAAGAUGAGGCCGUAAGGCGUAAUCGAUGCACAUCAGGUUAAAUAUUCCUGAGCUAGCUCGGGUUAAGGCUGCGAAUGACGCAUGGGAAGACAUCAACUAGGCAAUUGAAUGCUGAGCUUAGCCUUCGGGCGAAGCGUAUUGGUGGGUUCCUGUGUCUAGAAAAGAUCGCAGCUGUUCCCCGGGUUGCCCGUACCGUAAACCGACACAGGUGGGUGAGUGUAAGUGCACUAAGGCGCGCGAGAGAAACCUCUCUAAGGAACUCGGCACAUUAGCCCCGUAACUUCGGGAUAAGGGGUGCCUUCUUCGGAAGGUCUCAGUAAAUGGCGUUUUUCGACUGUUUAACAAAAACACAGCUCUCUGCAAAGUCGUUAAGACGACGUAUAGGGAGUGACAAGUGACCAAUGCGGAAAGAUCAAGGCAACUUGUUAGCCGUAAGGCGAAGCUCGGAACCUAAGUCCCCGUGAAUGUCGGCCGUAACUAUAACGGUCCUAAGGUAGCGAAAUUCCUUGUCGGGUAAGUUCCGACCUGCACGAAUCUUGUAACGAAAGAACGACUGUCUCGGAGAGGAUCUCGGCGAAACUGUAACGGCGGUGAAGAUGCCGCCUGCCCGCAGUAGGACGGAAAGACCCUAUGCACCUUUACUGUAAGCUCGUAUUGGGUUCUGAUUCAUGAUGCUUAGCGUAGGUGGGAGACUUUGAAGUCAGGGCUUCGGUUCUGGCAGAGUCGAAAUGUGAAACACCACUCUUUGUGAAUUAGGAUUCUAACCUCAGUCUGUGAAGCCAGAUGAGGGACAGUGCGCGCGGAUCAGUUUGACUGGGGCGGUUUCCUCCCAAAUUGUAACGGAGGAGCGCGAUGCUUAGCUCAGCACGGUUGGCAACCGUGCGUCGAGUGUAUGGAUAGAUGCUAGGUUAACUGUGAGACCAACAAGUCGAGCAGGUGCGAAAGCAGGCCCAAAUGAUCCGAUGGUUUAAUGUGGAAUUGCCAUCGCUCAACGGACAAAAGGUACGCUAGGGAUAACAGGCUGAUCGGAGCCAAGAGUUCACAUCGACGCUCCGGUUUGGCACCUCGAUGUCGGCUCAUCGCAUCCUGGGGCUC